AACAUACUCCCUUCGUCCGGAAAUACUUGUCAUCAAAAUAGAUAAAAGAUGAUGUAUCUAGACGUAUUUUAGUUACGAGAUACAUCACCUUUUGUCCAUUUUAAUGACAAGUAUUUUCGGACGGAGGGAGUAUUAC
rfam:Triticum aestivum genome assembly, contig: Triticum_aestivum_CS42_TGACv1_scaffold_404476_5BL